GCUGCUCUGCCUUUUGUCUCUCUGCCUCAGCUGCAACUCAUUUCCUCUGAUUAGUUCAUCUAGUCUUGCUGGUUUCUUCUGUUGACUGCAUGUUCUCUGACGCUCUGCUACCCUGCCUGUUUCUGCCAAUCUGGUUAAUGUUCUGUCUCCUCCAUGCCUACACUCUUCCUGGAACCUGUGAACCCAAAGAAGGCACUAACCUUUCCUCUGGAUCACCUGCCUGCAAGACUCCUGCCUGUCCACCCUCCAACUUCACAUACACCACUUGUAAGGAAACACAAAGGAACAAUCACCACCUCACCACAACCUCACCUGUCAAACUCAGUCUCUGUGGCGUUACUCACCUUUCCCUGGAAACUCCAAUUCUUCGUAACAUGCACAUACGAGGAGAACUUGGAUUCUCUGACGAACCUGUUGCAUUUUCUUGUUUGUCAAUAAACCUGUUUAACUUGAA